AUUGAACGCUGGCGGCAUGCUUUACACAUGCAAGUCGAACGGCAGCACAGGGAGCUUGCUCCUGGGUGGCGAGUGGCGAACGGGUGAGUAAUGUAUCGGAACGUGCCUGGUAGUGGGGGAUAACUACUCGAAAGAGUGGCUAAUACCGCAUGAGAUCUUUGGAUGAAAGCGGGGGACCUUCGGGCCUCGUGCUACUGGAGCGGCCGAUAUCAGAUUAGGUUGUUGGUGGGGUAAAGGCCUACCAAGCCUGCGAUCUGUAGCUGGUCUGAGAGGACGACCAGCCACACUGGGACUGAGACACGGCCCAGACUCCUACGGGAGGCAGCAGUGGGGAAUUUUGGACAAUGGGCGCAAGCCUGAUCCAGCAAUGCCGCGUGCAGGACGAAGGCCUUCGGGUUGUAAACUGCUUUUGUACAGAACGAAAAGUCUCUGGCUAAUAUCUAGAGAUCAUGACGGUACUGAAAGAAUAAGCACCGGCUAACUACGUG
rnacentral:rRNA from 1 species